UGGGGAAUAUUGCACAAUGGGCGCAAGCCUGAUGCAGCCAUGCCGCGUGUAUGAAGAAGGCCUUCGGGUUGUAAAGUACUUUCAGCGAGGAGGAAGGCGGUAAGGUUAAUAACCUUAUCGAUUGACGUUACUCGCAGAAGAAGCACCGGCUAACUCCGUGCCGGCAGCCGCGGUAAUACGGAGGGUGCAAGCGUUAAUCGGAAUUACUGGGCGUAAAGCGCACGCAGGCGGUCUGUCAAGUCGGAUGUGAAAUCCCCGGGCUCAACCUGGGAACUGCAUUCGAAACUGGCAGGCUAGAGUCUUGUAGAGGGGGGUAGAAUUCCAGGUGUAGCGGUGAAAUGCGUAGAGAUCUGGAGGAAUACCGGUGGCGAAGGCGGCCCCCUGGACAAAGACUGACGCUCAGGUGCGAAAGCGUGGGGAGCAAACA
rnacentral:rRNA from 1 species